CUGACUCAGUGGUCUGACUCCUGAAAGAAAGGAGCUAAGCGGGAUGGUUUGACUCUUGUACCAUCUGCCUUCCCAGAAACACAGUGAGCCUCCAUCUCUGCCCUGGGCAGGGUCCCUACUCAGAAGGAAUCUGGACCUGCCCCCACACAGCUCCCUUAGGUAUUCUCGGGGUGGUCCUGGAGGGAUCAGAUAACUCACCUGAGGUCGGAGACUGGAGACCUCUACACUGUCACCUCCUCUCCCCAUUAGUAUUCCUGCCCUGCAGACCCAGUGGAAUUCUCCUGGAAGACAGGAGAAAAGGCCGGACCCUUGCUCACCCUCCACCCUGUGCCGGUGCUGCUGAUACAGAUUUCUCUAAACGGUGGAGUCCUCAACGUCCAACAGAAUCUGGCCGGACCCUGCGAGUGAGAGCCCAGAAGUAAUGCACAACUCUUGGUAUUGUCCGCUUAACUGACCGGCCUUCUUCCGUUGAGUCUGUGCCCCUCCCCGAAGCCACACGUCGCUCCUCCGGGAUCAAGCGGGGCUCAAACUCAACACUUCCUCCAUGGCUCUGCAGCCCGGAAGAGGAAAGGCCGGACCGCUCUUCCUCCUAGCCUAGGGUCCCGCAUCCCACAUCCUCACACAGGUUGUCAGAGGCGGGCGCCCUGGGAGGGGAGGCCCUGGGAGGGGAGGCCCCGCCCCUCAUCCCUGUCCCCCAGCACGACGGCC
rnacentral:lncRNA from 1 species